CCUGGUGAAGAUCUGCAGCUGGAUUUGCACGUAUCAGAGCGAGUGAAGGUGAUCUAUAAGGGUGGAGAUUCAGCAGAUCCUUAUGGUGAACAGAUCUGCACUGUGGAUAGAAGCUCACUACGCUGUACAGCUGAAUACACACCGAGAACAUCACUCACUAACACAGUUCUUACACUGAGAGGAGUAAAGCUGACUGAUCGAGGAGUUUACAUCGUCCGCGACACGGAGAAUAAUGAAGAUCUUCAUAUUUACGCAGUAUCAGUGACAGUAUCAGUGAGAGAGAGAGCGCUACCAUGGUGGGUGAUUAUCCUGAUAGUGCUGCUGCUGCUGCUUGUUGUUGCGCUGUCUGUUAAAAUCUGCUACCAGAGGAAACUACUUCAACGACAUCAACUCUGCCAAAGAGAUGAAUCGUACAGAGGAGCAGCAGUGGAGCAUACAAAUGAGGGACCAGGCAGAGAACGAAAGCAUGUUGGAGCAGGAAGAGAACCUGAAGCUCAAACAUAAGAAUGGAAUAACAGAGGGAAGAGACUUAUAACUUCAUACAGCAUGAUUCUACUGCAAGUCUUUUUUUUAAUCCCUUUAUCUGUUACAUAUCCUCAUCAGAUCUUCUUAUAGGCUUCUCCUGUCAUAUAUUACCUUUGGAGAUGAUUUCACUGAGCACCACAUCAUCUGUCCUUCUCUGGGAUCUGCUUCAGUCCUGGUUCCUCAGCAAUGUGAUGAGCUUCCAGCUCCUUUAAGAAUAGAACCUUGUGUUUUGGUCUCAGAAGAACCUCCUCUAAGAACAGAACCUGUUCAGAUGGCAUCAAGGUCACAUUAUUAAAUACUAAUGAUAUUUUAUACGUUUCAUCUCUAUUAACUCAUACAGUGGAGCAGGAAGAGACCAGACCUGGAAUGGUACCUCAGAAAUGCCUAAACUGCCAGAGAAACAAAUGAUGAUGAAGCAGGAAGAGAACCUGAAGCUCAAACAUAAGAAUGGAGUAACAGAGGGAAGAGAUUUAUAACUUCAUACAGCAUGUUUGAAUUAUUACUUUUUGUUUUGCAUCGUUGUUUCUGCUCUGACUUUCUUCGGAAGUGUUCAGGUUUGUGAACAUGCAAGCUCAUGUUUUUCCCACCUGUGUGAAGGUUAAAAACUCGGUUUGCUCUGCUGCUGAAGCUGCGCCUUUUACACUUUCAGUUUCUCUAAUUCCUCUCAGCUGUUAAUAUUUUAUUGAACUAGACACAAACUACAUGAAUUACAAAUCGAGCUAACACAUUUUUCCCCUUGUGGUGCAUAAAUAUUCCCACCCUUUAGAAAUGUUGGUCCAGUGAUACAUGAUAAACAAUGUGCAUUAUGAAAUAUAGGCAUCCAGUAAAACAGCUGUGUUUAAUUUUAAAAACUGUGAGAAACUGAGUUUAAUCAUACUUUUAUUCAGUGUCCUACAAAAUUAAUGACACUGAAAAUACGGAGACAAAAAAUAAAUAAAAUAGCUGGGACUGAUCAGUGUUUACUGGGUGUGUCCUCUGUUACGACCCACACCAGUACUGCUGGCAUCAACUUCCAGCUUGAAGGGUUUUCCAAAUUAGGGGCAAACACUGAUCAGUCCCAGCUAGUGAACACGUGUGUGUAUGAGGACACACCCAGUAAACACUGAUCAGUCCCAGCUAGUGAACACGUGUGUGUGAGGACACACCCAGUAAACACUGAUCAGUCCCAGCUAGUGAACACGUGUGUAUGAGGACACACCCAGUAAACACUGAUCAGUCCCAGCUAGUGAACACGUGUGUGUGAGGACACACCCAGUAAACACUGAUCAGUCCCAGCUAGUGAACACGUGUGUGUGAGGACACACCCAGUAAACACUGAUCAGUCCCAGCUAGUGAACACGUGUGUGUAUGAGGACACACCCAGUAAACACUGAUCAGUCCCAGCUAGUGAACACGUGUGUGUGAGGACACACCCAGUAAACACUGAUCAGUCCCAGCUAGUGAACACGUGUGUGUGAGGACACACCCAGUAAACACUGAUCAGACCCAGCUAGUGAACACGUGUGUGUGUGAGGACACACCCAGUAAACACUGAUCAGUCCCAGCUAGUGAACACGUGUGUGUAUGAGGACACACCCAGUAAACACUGAUCAGUCCCAGCUAGUGAACACGUGUGUGUGUGAGGACACACCCAGUAAACACUGAUCAGUCCCAGCUAGUGAACACGUGUGUGUGAGGACACACCCAGUAAACACUGAUCAGUCCCAGCUAGUGAACACGUGUGUGUGAGGACACACCCAGUAAACACUGAUCAGUCCCAGCUAGUGAACACGUGUGUGUUAGGACACACCCAGUAAACACUGAUCAGACCCAGCUAGUGAACACGUGUGUGUGAGGACACACCCAGUAAACACUGAUCAGUCCCAGCUAGUGAACACGUGUGUAUGAGGACACACCCAGUAAACACUGAUCAGUCCCAGCUAGUGAACACGUGUGUGUGAGGACACACCCAGUAAACACUGAUCAGUCCCAGCUAGUGAACACGUGUGUAUGAGGACACACCCAGUAAACACUGAUCAGUCCCAGCUAGUGAACACGUGUGUGUGAGGACACACCCAGUAAACACUGAUCAGUCCCAGCUAGUGAACACGUGUGUAUGAGGACACACCCAGUAAACGCUGAUCAGUCCCAGCUAGUGAACACGUGUGUGUGAGGACACACCCAGUAAACACUGAUCAGUCCUAGCUAGUGAACACGUGUGUAUGAGGACACACCCAGUAAACACUGAUCAGUCCCAGCUGGUGAACACGUGUGUGUGAGGACACACCCAGUAAACACUGAUCAGUCCCAGCUAGUGAACACGUGUGUAUGAGGACACACCCAGUAAACGCUGAUCAGUCCCAGCUAGUGAACACGUGUGUGUGAGGACACACCCAGUAAACACUGAUCAGUCCUAGCUAGUGAACACGUGUGUAUGAGGACACACCCAGUAAACACUGAUCAGUCCCAGCUAGUGAACACGUGUGUGUGAGGACACACCCAGUAAACACUGAUCAGUCCCAGCUAGUGAACACGUGUGUAUGAGGACACACCCAGUAAACGCUGAUCAGUCCCAGCUAGUGAACACGUGUGUGUGAGGACACACCCAGUAAACACUGAUCAGUCCCAGCUAGUGGGAAAGUUACUGAGCAGCUCAGACUGACAUGGAGCAGCUCACAGGGAGAGGAAUCACAACAGACAGGUGGGAAAAACACGAACAUUAUGAAACUGCAGAGAGAGUGUGAGCUCAUGAAGGUGGUUUUAUCUUCACACAGCGCUCACAGACGUUAUCUCCAUGUUACAUACGCUGAGGCUUUAACACAGCUGGAGUAAAAAUGUUAGUGUUGAUGUUCCAGCUCUCUACUGAGAUUCUGGAAACAGCUGAUCUCAUGUUACAUAUAUAUUCUACUGUUUUGAUUAUUAAACUUUUUUUUUUUUAAAUUCUUUUAAACAUUUGUUUUCCUUUUCACUGCUAAUUUUUAGACAUUAAAUAAAAGUAUUACCAAAUUAAAAGGUUUAUUUUUAAAUGCAGCGUUGUUUUGCUGUAAAUUUCCUACCAAACCUACAUUUCCUGCUGCAUGCCGUGUAUCGCACAAUCAUGUUUUAAUAUUUUUGUGUAUUUCCCACCUCUACUAUUUGCUCAUGUUUGAGUUAGCCGAUAGCAGCGAUCUUCUUUCUAACAUUUGCCUAUUUAUUAUGUUCUGCAGUUGAUGAUGUGUAAUCUAGAAAUACCAGAUUUAUUUGUAUAAGUCAAAAGAAUACAGAAAUAAAGUUCUGGCGCUGAGGUGUCCGAAUGAUUGGAAUAAACUUCCUCUAGAUGUCCUAGCAGCUGAGACACUGGUAGUCUUCAACCAACGUCUAAAGACUUAAAAGCACUUCUGUAAGUCAUGCCGCAUUUGCAAAAAUGGCAUAAAUGUAAAUGUAAAUUAAUUUUGUCUGUGUUCUGGAUAGAAAUUAUAGAAUUAUGUAAAUAUGUAAAUAGCUCAUUUGUGGUGCCUUGACUAAAGAUGUCUUCAGAAAGUGACAUCAGAAAAUCCUCCUUUGCUCAUUUAUUACAUUCUGCAGUUGAUGUGUAUAAUACUUGUUUGUAUAAGUCAAAGGAGAAUACAGGAAUAAACAGACGUUUUCAGAAGAAUACAGGAAUAAACAGAUGCAGAAAAACACAAA